ensembl:snRNA U6 U6 spliceosomal RNA
GUUCUUGCUUCGGCAGCACAUAUACUAAAAUUGGAAUGAUACAGAGAAGAUUAGCAUGAUCCCUGAGCAAGUUAGUUUGUUUAAUCCCCUUAAAAUAGUUUA